GGCGCUAUAGUGUAGUGGUUAUCACUCGAGAUUCUGAUGAAUUCUUACCUUCUCGAAACCCAGGUUCGAUCCCUGGUAGCGCCU